rnacentral:rRNA from 1 species
GACGAACGCUGGCGGCGUGCUUAACACAUGCAAGUCGAGCGGUAAGGCCCUUUCGGGGGUACACGAGCGGCGAACGGGUGAGUAACACGUGGGUGACCUGCCCUCAGCUCUGGGAUAAGCCUGGGAAACCGGGUCUAAUACUGGAUAUGACUCCAUGACGCAUGUUGGUGGGGUGGAAAGCCUUGUGCGGCUGAGGAUGGGCCCGCGGCCUAUCAGCUUGUUGGUGGGGUGANGGCCUACCAAGGCGACGACGGGUAGCCGGCCUGAGAGGGCGACCGGCCACACUGGGACUGAGACACGGCCCAGACUCCUACGGGAGGGCAGCAGUGGGGAAGUCUUGCGCAAUGGGCGAAAGCCUGACGCAGCGACGCCGCGUGAGGGAUGACGGCCU